rnacentral:rRNA from 1 species
AGAGUUUGAUCCUGGCUCAGAUUGAACGCUGGCGGCAGGCCUAACACAUGCAAGUCGAGCGGUAGAGAGAAGCUUGCUUCUCUUGAGAGCGGCGGACGGGUGAGUAAUGCCUAGGAAUCUGCCUGGUAGUGGGGGAUAACGUUCGGAAACGGACGCUAAUACCGCAUACGUCCUACGGGAGAAAGCAGGGGACCUUCGGGCCUUGCGCUAUCAGAUGAGCCUAGGUCGGAUUAGCUAGUUGGUGAGGUAAUGGCUCACCAAGGCGACGAUCCGUAACUGGUCUGAGAGGAUGAUCAGUCACACUGGAACUGAGACACGGUCCAGACUCCUACGGGAGGCAGCAGUGGGGAAUAUUGGACAAUGGGCGAAAGCCUGAUCCAGCCAUGCCGCGUGUGUGAAGAAGGUCUUCGGAUUGUAAAGCACUUUAAGUUGGGAGGAAGGGUUGUAGAUUAAUACUCUGCAAUUUUGACGUUACCGACAGAAUAAGCACCGGCUAACUCUGUGCCAGCAGCCGCGGUAAUACAGAGGGUGCAAGCGUUAAUCGGAAUUACUGGGCGUAAAGCGCGCGUAGGUGGUUUGUUAAGUUGGAUGUGAAAUCCCCGGGCUCAACCUGGGAACUGCAUUCAAAACUGACUGACUAGAGUAUGGUAGAGGGUGGUGGAAUUUCCUGUGUAGCGGUGAAAUGCGUAGAUAUAGGAAGGAACACCAGUGGCGAAGGCGACCACCUGGACUGAUACUGACACUGAGGUGCGAAAGCGUGGGGAGCAAACAGGAUUAGAUACCCUGGUAGUCC